rnacentral:misc_RNA from 1 species
AGUCCAAACGAAAGAGACAACUG